UACGAAGGGGGCUAGCGUUGCUCGGAAUCACUGGGCGUAAAGCGCACGUAGGCGGACGAUUAAGUUAGAGGUGAAAGCCUGAAGCUCAACUUCAGAACUGCCUUUGAUACUGAUCGUCUUGAGUUCGGAAGAGGUUGGUGGAACUGCGAGUGUAGAGGUGAAAUUCGUAGAUAUUCGCAAGAACACCAGUGGCGAAGGCGGCCAACUGGUCCGAUACUGACGCUGAGGUGCGAAAGCGUGGGGAUCAAAC
rnacentral:rRNA from 1 species